rnacentral:rRNA from 1 species
UACGUAGGGUGCGAGCGUUACUCGGAAUUACUGGGCGUAAAGCGUGCGCAGGCGGCGCGUUAAGACAGGUGUGAAAGCCCCGAGCUUAACUUGGGAAUUGCGCUUGUGACUGGCGUGCUGGAGUGUGGCAGAGGGAGGUGGAAUUCCACGUGUAGCAGUGAAAUGCGCAGAUAUCAGGAGGAACACCGAUGGCGAAGGCAGCUCGCUGGGACGGUACUGACGCUGAGACGCGAAAGCGUGGGGAGCGAACAGG